UCAGCAAUGGGUUUUGUCCCAGGCCUGGAUAGCUAUUCUAUCUGCAGGGAUCUGGCUGCCCAAACGUGAAGAGGCAAUGCACGGAAAGGAAGAACGUGCAUAGGCCUGCAGCUUUGGGGAGAUGCACAUGGUACCUGCCAGCAUCCUCAAGAGAUCCCCUCUCCACCUGAUCAUCAGAGGGAGCAGGUCUGAGCCCCAUCACCCCCAGCCCUGCCAGCUGGGUCCUCGGGAAAGCAAGCAAGAACGCAAUGCUUUUUUGAGGUUCAUGGAGGAACUGAGCUCUCAUCACUUCCUGUGGGCCUUCCUGAGCACAAGAUCCUCUCUCUUGCAUCAGCCAACCCAGGAGCUGCUGAUAAACCACUCCACAAGCUUGAGCCAGAGUUAAUGUUACCCAUUGACCACCCACUGAGCACUUGCUGUGUGCUAAGCAUUAUCUCAUUAAGCCCUCACCACAUUCCUGCAAGGUUUGCCUCUGGAAGGUGGAACCUAGCUUACUCCUGCAGCCUGCUGAAGACCUGUGCUCCAGGGGCCAGGAAUGGAUGGGGCAGGUGCGGAUGGGCCGGUGGACGAAGCAACAGCCGCAGCCGCAGCGCGGAGACAAAGUCACAUGUCAGAGAAGCAUGCUCAUGCCUGGCUCCCUCCAGGAUCACUGAUGCCUCCUGGAAAUACACAGAAGUUCUGGACCAGCCUUGGCAAUGAAGCGGUAUGGCCGGUGAUGGCAGGCAAAUCCUUCUAGUCCUGUGAACUCGGACACCCUCGUUUGCAGUAUGGAGACAAUGUUGUCCUUACCCAGUCACAAAGCGAAUCCAGACCUCGUGCCCGGACAUAGUGGCAGCUGGAACUGUUUCCUACACCCUUGGAUUCCCAGAUCUGAGGUUUUUACUCUGCAGCCCAUUCAAGGACAGAGCGGCAGCUGUUGUCGGAAACAAACAACGGAGCUAUUUCCAGAUCGUUGUCUCCAGUGCCCAGGGCUCCUGGUAAGGAGAGGGGAUCUCCAGAAACAGUGAACAGAGACCGUGUCUUCUUCACUGAGCUCCACAAAUAUCACAACGUGUCUUCUUUUCCUGCAAUGUGCCCAAUGCCUGAAGCCAGCGGUGUUCACUAAUUGGGAGCUGCUGUCCUUAUAACUCACAGAUGAUGGUACUCAGCUUCCUCCCUGACCACAAGCCCAAAAUUGCCUGGUUGAGCAUCCCAGAGUCUGUGCCAGCCUGAGAAUGGGCUGUGGCUUGGGGGAUAUUUUGCACUGGCAUCCAGGAACCCCAUAGACCUCUGUGAAUCACGGCCCCCUGCUUCACAGUCUAAAUAGAAGCACCCGCUCUGCUGUGUACAGACUGCGGCUUCCCCCACGCCGGGACAGUGAUGCUGGCAUUGACUUGGAGAGGCUGACAUGUAAACCAAAGGAAGACAAAGGAGAACCAAGAAUGGAUGAAAGCAGAUAGAAGAAAGGUGUGAAGGUGAUAGCGGAGGCACACUGCACUCACAGGGAGGCAGGACAUGACGGGGGCACGGGCAUGAAGGACAGGGGUCUGGGUUCACCAUGGCUCUCCUCCUCGUGAGUGUGUGAUUUGGGACAUUGAGGUUUACUUUUCCUAUUUGUACAAAUGAAGACACUAUGAGCUCCUCCAUCAGAAGUUGGCAUUUAGAGAGAUGUAAUGGGGUGCUGUGGUGAAACACACUGCCUUGCUCACAAGUGCUCAAUAAAAUGUAUCUGUAAUCCUGA